UACGUAGGGCGCAAGCGUUGUCCGGAAUUAUUGGGCGUAAAGAGCUCGUAGGCGGUUUGUCGCGUCUGUCGUGAAAGCCCACGGCUUAACCGUGGGUCUGCGGUGGAUACGGGCAGACUAGAGGCAGGUAGGGGAGAAUGGAAUUCCCGGUGUAGCGGUGAAAUGCGCAGAUAUCGGGAGGAACACCGGUGGCGAAGGCGGUUCUCUGGGCCACUACUGACGCUGAGAAGCGAAAGCAUGGGGAGCGAACAGG
rnacentral:rRNA from 1 species